rnacentral:tRNA from 2 species
GGGAGGGUAGCUCAGUGGGAGUAGCGCCCGGCUGAAGACCGGGAGGUCGAGAGUUCAAAUCUCUCCCCUCCCA